CAAGGAGUUUGCAAGCACGUUAAAGAUGUUAGGAAAAAUGUACGCGUUUUGCACUAAAACAAAAACGCCCCAGAAAAACUUUGCCAUUUUCAGAUCGAACAUCUGUAAAUGACGCACAGCAACUGUUUGACAUGACAAUGUUUUUGGCUACGGGAAAUCAGUUGAACGUUUGCGACGAAUUUUAUCCUUCGGUCCAACGUUUUCGUUUAUUAAGUCUUCGUUGAAAUAACUUAGGUACCUAAUUCAAAUGUACAAUUACU